CCCCAUUUUCAUUCUCAGAUUUACUAUGUGUCUCUUUGACACAUUCCCCAUUUUCAUUCUCAAUUUUAAUAUUCUCUUUAUUGUUAACUAUGCUGAACUUUACUGCCCCAUUUUUAGGUGCAUAAUAUUCAGCACUAAAUGUUGCAAGCAUAUUUAAGGAUAACUUGCUUUGUUUGACAGAGUAAUAAUGAUUGAAAUGAUAAGUUCUAACUCAAAUGGCAAUUAUUCGAGAGAAAGACCUAUGACACUACUGAGACACUUCCAUUCCAAUGAUGUCCAGCUUCUUGGUCCAUGUGAGUUUGCAACCAUUAAACCAAUUGUCAAAAAUUUGCUGGCACAAAGCACAUGAAACAUGUAAAAAUAAGAAAGUUUGGUAAAUAUCGAUACAGCUACUGAACAACAAAUUUAUAUAUUUAAAGACACAAAAGUCACCAAUCAUGAAAAAGAAAUUAAAUAACAUUUUGUUUCAAAAUAUUAAUCAACAAGAACAGAAAAAGGUGUGAAUGCAUUCAACAAAAAUAAACCAAUCCAAUUGAAGAAAUCCCAAUGAUAAAAAAAACCACAAAAGCACAAACCACUAUGUUACAAUGAAAAACACUUAUUGUUUGAUUCUCAUAGGAUUUUGUCUAAUGCUUAGUCCGUUUCUGUGUGUGUUACAUUUUAAUGUUGUGUCGUUGUUCUCCUCUUAUAUUUAAUGCGUUUCCCUCAGUUUUAGAUUGUUACCCCGAUUUUGGUUUUUGUCCAUGGAUUUAUGAGUUUUGAACAGCGGUAUACUACUGUUGCCUUUAUUUUUUAUUGCUCAACAUGCACAGUUAUAAACAUGGUAGGAAACAAAGAAAUAAGCAUAGGUCAACAUGUACAUGUAAAAUAAUCAUAGGAAUCACAGGUCAACAUAAACAGAUAUAAUACAUCGUAGAAAUCACAGAAACAACAACAGGUCACCAUGUACAGAUAUAAUACAUCGUAGAAAUCACAGAAAUAACAACAGUCAAAUGUACAGAUAUAAUACAUCGUACACAGAAAUAACAACAGGUCACCAUGUACAGAUAUAAUACAUCGUAGAAAUCACAGAAACAACAACAGGUCACCAUGUACAGAUAUAAUACAUCGUAGAAAUCACAGAAAUAACAACAGGUCAACAUGUACAGAUAUAAUACAUCGUAGGAAUUACAGAAAUAACAACAGGUCACCAUGUACAGAUAUAAUACAUCGUAGAAAUCACAGAAACAACAACAGGUCACAUGUAACAUAUAUAAUACAUCGUAGAAAUCACAGAAAUAACAACAGGUCAACAUGUACAGAUAUAAUGCAUCGUAGGAAUCACAGAAACAACAACAGGUCAACAUGUACAUAUAUAAUACAUCGUAGAAAUCACAGAAAUAACAACAGGUCAACAUGUACAUAUAUAAUACAUCGUAGGAAUCACAGAAAUAACAACAGGUCAACAUGUACAUAUAUAAUACAUCGUAGAAAUCACAGAAAUAACAACAGGUCAACAUGUACAGAUAUAAUACAUCGUAGGAAUCACAGAAACAACAACAGGUCAACAUGUACAUAUAUAAUACAUCGUAGAAAUCACAGAAAUAACAACAGGUCAACAUGUACAUAUAUAAUGCAUCGUAGAAAUCACAGAAAUAACAACAGGUCAACAUGUACAGAUAUAAUACAUCGUAGGAAUCACAGAAAUAACAACAGGUCAACAUGUACAGAUAUAAUGCAUCGUAGAAAUCACAGAAAUAACAAAAGGUCACCAUGUACAGAUAUAAUGCAUUGUAGGAAUCACAGAAAUAACAACAGGUCACCAUGUACAGAUAUAAUACAUCGUAGAAAUCACAGAAAUAACAACAGGUCAACAUGUACAGAUAUAAUACAUCGUAGGAAUCACAGAAAUAACAACAGGUCAACAUGUACAGAUAUAAUACAUCGUAGGAAUCACAGAAACAACAACAGGUC
rnacentral:lncRNA from 1 species